UACGGGGGGGGCAAGCGUUGUUCGGAAUUACUGGGCGUAAAGCGCGCGUAGGCGGCUUUUCAAGUCAGACGUGAAAUCCUUAGGCUUAACCUGAGAACUGCGUUUGAUACUGUUGGGCUAGAGUGCGGAAGGGGCUACUAGAAUUCCGUGUGUAGCGGUGAAAUGCGUAGAUAUACGGAGGAACACCAGCGGCGAAGGCGGGUAUCUGGACGGUUUCUGACGCUAAGACGCGAAAGCGUGGGGAGCAAACAGG
rnacentral:rRNA from 1 species